AAUCAACGCUGGCGGCGUGCCUAACACAUGCAAGUCGAACGAGAAAGGGACUUCGGUCCUGAGUACAGUGGCGCACGGGUGAGUAACACGUGACUAACCUACCCUGGAGUGGGGAAUAACUGAGGGAAACCUUAGCUAAUACCGCAUAAUACCUACGGGUCAAAGGAGCAAUUCGCUUCAGGAGGGGGUCGCGGCCGAUUAGCUAGUUGGCGGGGUAAUGGCCCACCAAGGCAAUGAUCGGUAUCCGGCCUGAGAGGGCGCACGGACACA
rnacentral:rRNA from 1 species